rnacentral:rRNA from 1 species
GACGAACGCUGGCGGCGUGCUUAACACAUGCAAGUGGAGCGACGAACCGGGCUUCGGCCCGGGGCAAAGCCGCGAACGGGUGAGUAACACGUGGGUAACCUGCCCCGUUGACCGGGACAACCCGAGGAAACUCGGGCUAAUACCGGAUGAGCUCGCUUCCCAUCAGGGAAACGAGGAAAGGAAGCUUCGGCCUCCGCAUCGGGAUGGGCCCGCGGCCCAUUAGCUUGUUGGUGGGGUAAUGGCCUACCAAGGCUGCGAUGGGUAGCUGGUCUGAGAGGACGAUCAGCCACACUGGGACUGAGACACGGCCCAGACUCCUACGGGAGGCAGCAGUGGGGAAUCUUGCGCAAUGCGCGAAAGCGUGACGCAGCAACGCCGCGUGAGGGAAGACGGCCUUCGGGUUGUAAACCUCUUUCAGUUGGGACGAAGCCUGUUCGGUGAAUAGCCGAUUCAGGUGACGGUACCUUCAGAAGAAGCCCCGGCUAACUACGUGCCAGCCGCCGCGGUAACAC